rnacentral:rRNA from 1 species
CUACGGGCUGCUCCAGUGAGGAAUAUUGGACAAUGGGGGAAACCCUGAUCCAGCAAUGCCGCGUGUGUGAAGAAGGCCUGCGGGUUGUAAAGCACUUUCGGUUGGGAGGACUGCUUCUAGCACUAAUAUUGUUGGAAGUUGACGUUACCUUCAGAAGAAGCACCGGCUAACUCCGUGCCAGCAGCCGCGGUAAUACGGAGGGUGCAAGCGUUAAUCGGAAUUACUGGGCGUAAAGCGCGCGUAGGCGGCUAGAUCAGUCGGGUGUGAAAGCCCCGGGCUUAACCUGGGAACUGCAUCCGAUACUGUCUAGCUUGAGUACAGGAGAGGAGAGUGGAAUUCCACAUGUAGCGGUGAAAUGCGUAGAUAUGUGGAGGAACACCAAUGGCGAAGGCAGCUCUCUGGCCUGAUACUGACGCUGAGGUGCGAAAGCGUGGGGAUCAAACAGGAUUAGAUACCCUCGUAGUC